CGACCAGCAGAGGGAGACAGGGUGAAGAGAAAGAACAGGAACAAGACACAACAUGACAAUACAUGACAGUUAUGUUGUGUUGUGUUGUGUAGUUGCUUUGAUGGCAUGCAUCAUUUUUAUACAUCUUCUGUUUUGCCCCACCAAGAAUCACAUGCUAAAGUUGCCACUGCUUUGGCCUAAGAAUCACGGUCGGAAGGCAUAUGAACUAACAGGUUAUAGAGCAAACAACGCAAUCCUCACCACAUGUAGGUUGUAAUAAGCCUUUUAUUUAUGGUUUGGCUUCCCAAGUGAUUUUACCCACGCACUGCAACUGUCCUUGAAAGUAAUUCAAUGAAAUUGAUGAAUGACUUUUAACAAGUAUCAAAUCCAAAUCUACUUUAUUUGUCACAUGCUUCGUUAGCAACAGGUGUAGACGGACAGUGAAAUGCUUUCUUACGGGCCCUUCCCAGCAAUGUAGAGAGAGAAAAUAGAGAAAUAAUAGAAAAGUAAUAACACGUAAUAAUAAAAGUUAUAAUAAGAGUUCUGGUGAAACAUUUGUACGUUUUUUGUGUUUCCUAAUGAUUCUCCUCACCUCCAGUGUAACAGACACAGGUACAGUGAACAUUUUGUUAUGUGCAUUGAGUACUACACGCACAGCACUUUCUUUCUAUCCAAGACAAAAUUAACAAAACAUAAGAACAGGAAGUAGUAAUUCUAGCUACUGGGAAAACCAUAGUGUAUCAGAAUAAUUAUGAGCAAUUUCUAUUGAUUGCAGAUGCUACUUCAUGAACACAUAUAUGUGAACAAUCAUAGUUGCCUAUAAUCAGUGACAAAGUGUUUCUAUCUUCAUUGUUCGGGGAUAUUCAAUACAUUCUGUUAAAAACACACGUCAGCUUCCUUGAAGCAGGCAAAUUGUAUUCCCACUCUAAGCAUAUAUCAUGUUCGCUUUAGAUAAAGAGGAAUAGUGGAUCACACAGGAAGCAGGACCUAAACUGACUCAGGAAGAUAUGAGUGACACACAGCCUUGCAUGGCAGUUGUAGACAAAAAUUGAUAUUCUCAUACAUACAGCCACUGUGGAAGUAGACUGCCUUCUCAGGUGAUGGCAUAGGCUUAUGACAAGACAGGCUCUCAGAAAAAAAACCCGAUCCAACACAUUACCCCACAUUUUGAGACUGAAUAAAUUAGCGUUCUGCUGGCAGAACCCUAUUGCUGCCCUGUACAGUAUCUAGAAAAGCCAAGCAGAGGUGGUUCUUCAAGAAAGAUAGUGAAACAUGCAAAACAGGAAAAGGGAGAGGGAGGACCCACAGAACAGGUUUUCCUUUGAUGAAGAUGGAGCCCUGCGGAACCUCAAUCUGCAGCCUGGGGACUCUGGAGAGAACCUGUGUAAUGGGGAAACGGCAGCUAAAGUAACAGUGUUGACAGAUCACCUCAACAUCCAGAGUACCACUGCUGUUAUGAAAACAGAUGUUGUUGGGAGAGAUAAGGACCUACAAAUG